rnacentral:rRNA from 1 species
GACAGAGGCCCCAAGCGUUAGGCGGAAUCACUGGGCUUAAAGCGUGUGUAGGCGGAUCGUUAAGUGUCUUGUGAAAUCCCACGGCUCACCCGUGGAACUGCUGGGCAUACUGGCGAUCUUGGGCCAACUAGGGGCAGUCGGAACAAGCGGUGGAGCGGUGAAAUGCGUAGAGAUCGGGAGGAACAUCUGUGGCGAAGGCGGCCAUCUGGACCAGCACUGACACUGAGGCACGAAAGCGUGGGGAGCAAACAGG